rnacentral:rRNA from 1 species
UGGGGAAUAUUGCACAAUGGGCGCAAGCCUGAUGCAGCCAUGCCGCGUGUGUGAAGAAGGCCUUCGGGUUGUAAAGCACUUUCAGCGAGGAGGAAGGGUAGUGUGUUAAUAGCACAUUGCAUUGACGUUACUCGCAGAAGAAGCACCGGCUAACUCCGUGCCAGCAGCCGCGGUAAUACGGAGGGUGCAAGCGUUAAUCGGAAUUACUGGGCGUAAAGCGCACGCAGGCGGUUUGUUAAGUCAGAUGUGAAAUCCCCGCGCUUAACGUGGGAACUGCAUUUGAAACUGGCAAGCUAGAGUCUUGUAGAGGGGGGUAGAAUUCCAGGUGUAGCGGUGAAAUGCGUAGAGAUCUGGAGGAAUACCGGUGGCGAAGGCGGCCCCCUGGACAAAGACUGACGCACAGGUGCGAAAGCGUGGGGAGCAAACA